GGGCCCUUAGCUCAGCCGGUUAGAGCAGCGGACUCAUAAUCCGUUGGUCGCAGGUUCGAAUCCUGCAGGGCCCACCA
rnacentral:tRNA from 1 species